GAAAAAUGCAUUUUUGGAUUUAUUGGAUCCGUCGGGACUGGCGGGGCUCGAACCCGCAGCUUCCGCCUUGACAG
rnacentral:tRNA from 1 species